GCGACGUGCCUAAAAUAUGCAUGUCGAACGUCGAAUCUUUGGUUUGAAGAGUUCGCUUUGAUAACCGAAGUUGAAAGUGGCAAACGGGUGAGUAACACGUGGACAACCUGCCGUCUACCCGGACAUAGCCUCGUGAAAGCGAGGGUAAUAUCCGAUGGUCUAUAUGGGUGUAAUUCCCAUAUGGUAAAGGUUUACUGGUAGAUGAGGGGUCUGCGGGCUAUCAGCUUGUUGGUGAGGUAAAGGCUCACCAAGGCUAUAACGGCUAGGGGGUGUGAAAGCACGGUCCCCCACAGUGGCACUGAGACACGGGCCACACUUCUACGGAAGGCAGCAAUUAGGAAUCUUGCGCAAUGGAGGAAACUCUGACGCAGCGACGUCGCGUGAAGGAAGAAGGUCUAUGGAUCGUAAACUUCUUUUACUAGGGAGCAGGAAGGAUAGUACCUAGUGAAUAAGCACCUGCUAACUGCGUGCCAGAAGCAUCGGUGAUACGUAGGGUGCAAGCGUUGUCCGGAUCUACUGGGCGUAAAGUGACUGUAGGCGGUUGGGUAAGUUGUGUUUCAAAGACUCAGGCUUAACUUGAGGAAGGAAUACAAUACUGCUUAACUAGAGGAAGGCAGAGGAAUGGGGAAUGUGUAGUGUAGCGGUAAUAUGCGUUGAUAUUACACAGAACGCCCACGGCGAAGGCACCAUUCUGGGCCUUUCCUGACGCUGAGAGUCGAAAGCUAGGGGAGCGAAACGGAUUAGAUACCCGUGUAGUCCUAGCCCUAAAUGAUGUUCGUUAAAUGUUGGUCCCGUCAAUUCGGGAUCAGUGUUGUAGCUAACGCGUUAAACGAACCGCCUGGGUAGUACGGUCGCAAGGCUAAAACUCAAAGGAAUUGGCGGGGACCCGCACAAGCAGUGGAGCACGUGGUUUAAUACGAGGGUAAUCGCAUAACCUUACCAGGGCUUGUAUAUAGCUGUGGCUUUCUAGAAACAGAAAGUGUCUUCGAGAAUGCUAUACAGGUAUUGCACGGCCGUCGUCAGCUCGUGCUGUGAGGUGUACCGUUAAGUCGGGUAACGAGCGCAACCCCUGUCCCAUGUUACAAGUGUCUUGGGAGACUGCCGUGGUAAAACACGGAGGAAGGAGGGGAUGAUGACUGGUCCUCAUGGUCCUUAUGCCCUGGGCUACACACGCGCUACAAUGGUCAGUACAACGGGGAGCGAAGCCGCAAGGUGGAGCAAAUCCUACAAAGCUGGCCUCAAUUCGGAUUGUGGGCUGCAAUUCGCCCACAUGAAGUUGGAGUUGCUAGUAAUCGCAGAUCAGGCACUCCUGCGGUGAAUACGUUCUCGGUCUUGCACACACCGCCCGUCA
rnacentral:rRNA from 1 species